rnacentral:rRNA from 1 species
CUUUACUGCAGCUUUGCACUGAACUUUGACCUUACUUGUGUAGGAUAGGUGGGGGGCUUUGAAGCUCGGACGCUAGUUCGAGUGGAGCCAUCCUUGAAAUACCACCCUGGUAAUGUCGAGGUUCUAACCCAGAUCCGUUAUCCGGAUCGGGGACAGUGUAUGGUGGGUAGUUUGACUGGGGCGGUCUCCUCCUAAAGAGUAACGGAGGAGUACGAAGGUGCGCUCAGCGUGGUCGGAAAUCACGCAAUGAGUAUAAAGGCAAAAGCGCGCUUAACUGCGAGACCGACAAGUCGAGCAGAUACGAAAGUAGGUCUUAGUGAUCCGGUGGUUCUGUAUGGAAGGGCCAUCGCUCAACGGAUAAAAGGUA